rnacentral:rRNA from 1 species
UACAGAGGUCUCAAGCGUUGUUCGGAUUCAUUGGGCGUAAAGGGUGCGUAGGCGGCGCGGUAAGUCGGGUGUGAAAUCUCCGGGCUUAACUCGGAAAGGUCAACUGAUACUGCGCGGCUAGAGUGCAGAAGGGGCAACUGGAAUUCUCGGUGUAGCGGUGAAAUGCGUAGAUAUCGAGAGGAACACCUGUGGCGAAGGCGAGUCCCUGGACAACACCUGACACUAAGGCACGAAAGCUAGGGGAGCAAACAGG